GAUGAACGCUGGCGGCGUGCUUAACACAUGCAAGUCGAGCGAAGCGGCUGAAUUGAUUCUUCGGAUGAUUUUCAGUUGACUGAGCGGCGGACGGGUGAGUAACGCGUGGGUGACCUGCCCCAUACCGGGGGAUAACAGCUGGAAACGGCUGCUAAUACCGCAUAAGCGCACAGAGCUGCAUGGCUCGGUGUGAAAAACUCCGGUGGUAUGGGAUGGGCCCGCGUCUGAUUAGGCAGUUGGCGGGGUAACGGCCCACCAAACCGACGAUCAGUAGCCGGCCUGAGAGGGCGACCGGCCACAUUGGGACUGAGACACGGCCCAAACUCCUACGGGAGGCAGCAGUGGGGAAUAUUGCACAAUGGGGGAAACCCUGAUGCAGCGACGCCGCGUGAGCGAAGAAGUAUUUCGGUAUGUAAAGCUCUAUCAGCAGGGAAGAU
rnacentral:rRNA from 1 species